rnacentral:tRNA from 1 species
CGACGUAGCUCAGUGGUAGAGCAACUGUUUUGUAAACAGUAGGUCGUUGGUUCGAAUCCGACCGUCG